GAUGAACGCUAGCGGCAGGCCUAACACAUGCAAGUCGAGGGAGAAGCCCUUUCGGGGGCAGAAACCGGCGCACGGGUGCGUAACGCGUAUGCAACCUACCUUUCACAGGGGGAUAGCCCGAAGAAAUUUGGAUUAAUACCCCAUAAUAUUAUUGGAUGGCAUCAUUUGAUAAUUAAAACUGCGGUGGUGAAAGAUGGGCAUGCGUCCUAUUAGCUAGUUGGAGUGGUAACGGCACCCCAAGGCUACGAUAGGUAGGGGUCCUGAGAGGGAGAUCCCCCACACUGGUACUGAGACAGGGACCAGACUCCUACGGGAGGCAGCAGUGAGGAAUAUUGGUCAAUGGUCGGAAGACUGAACCAGCCAUGCCGCGUGCAGGAAGAAUGCCUUAUGGGUUGUAAACUGCUUUUAUAUGGGAAGAAUAAGGCGUACGUNUACGUUGANGACGGUNCCA
rnacentral:rRNA from 1 species